UACGUAGGGGGCUAGCGUUGUCCGGAAUCAUUGGGCGUAAAGAGCGUGUAGGCGGCCCGGUAAGUCCGCUGUGAAAGUCGGGGGCUCAACCCUCGAAUGCCGGUGGAUACUGUCGGGCUAGAGUGCGGAAGAGGCGAGUGGAAUUCCUGGUGUAGCGGUGAAAUGCGCAGAUAUCAGGAGGAACACCAGCGGCGAAGGCGGCACUCUGGGCUGGAACUGACGCUGAGGAGCGAAAGCGUGGGGAGCGAACAGG
rnacentral:rRNA from 1 species